GACACGGUAGUGUAGUGGGCAGCACAUGACUUGAAUAACCCUGUACACUACCCCUCGUGUAGGUGGCUGCUCAGGUAACAACACUAUAGGCGCGGGUUCAAUUCCCGCUCGAGUCA